rnacentral:rRNA from 1 species
UGCGCAGGCGGUCUUGCAAGUCAGAUGUGAAAGCCCCGGGCUUAACCUGGGAAUUGCAUCCGAAACUGCAUGGCUAGAGUAAAGGAGAGGGAAGUGGAAUUUCCGGUGUAGCGGUGAAAUGCGUAGAUACCGGAAGGAACACCAGUGGCGAAGGCGACUUCCUGGCCUAUUACUGACGCUGAGGCGCGAAAGCGUGGGGAGCAAACA